rnacentral:piRNA from 1 species
GAAAAGGGUGUUCAAGCCAGGCUGG